rnacentral:lncRNA from 1 species
CCCAGAGUCAGCACCUCUGAAGCGAACUCAGCAAAUGGAAGUCAUCGAACCCCCCAUGAGAGCCAUCCAACAUGGAACCAGCCUGCAAGGAGGUUCUGACCUCCCCGUCACCACAGAGUCUACAGGUCCAGGAGAGGAAAGACCAGAGGUUUCAACUCCAGCCCACAUAUUAGAACCCCACUCAUGCCCAGGCUCCACCACAGGGAUACUGAUGCCAACACCCAGGAGGAGCUCACCCACAUGAAUCCUCUUAAAUGCCUCUCCAGCCAUGGUUGAGAACCACUGGGUCAGACUGUCUUCAUUAAAGGUCUCUGAGGGGCUCACAUUAGGAGUUGAUCAUUAAAUGUGUCUUGGUUCAGCCCACAUUUAUGGAGGACUGCUCCAUGGCAUAAACCUGUCCCAAGGCACAUGAGGGUAAACAAGACAUGUCCGUCAACCUCAGCUCCCACCUGCCAGCUCCCACCUGAGA